AUUGAACGCUGGCGGCAGGCUUAACACAUGCAAGUCGAGCGGAGAGAGGUAGCUUGUUACUGAUCUUAGCGGCGGACGGGUGAGCAAUGCUUAGGAAUCUGCCUAUUAGUGGGGGACAACAUUUCGAAAGGAAUGCUAAUACCGCAUACGUCCUACGGGAGAAAGCAGGGGAUCUUCGGACCUUGCGCUAAUAGAUGAGCCUAAGUCGGAUUAGCUAGUUGGUGGGGUAAAGGCCUACCAAGGCGACGAUCUGCAGCGGGUCUGAGAGGAUGAUCCGCCACACUGGGACUGAGACACGGCCCAGACUCCUACGGGAGGCAGCAGUGGGGAAUAUUGGACAAUGGGGGGAACCCUGAUCCAGCCAUGCCGCGUGUGUGAAGAAGGCCUUAUGGUUGUAAAGCACUUUAAGCGAGGAGGAGGCUAUUUUAGUUAAUACCUAGAGAUAGUGGACGUUACUCGCAGAAUAAGCACCGGCUAACUCUGUGCCAGCAGCCGCCGUAA
rnacentral:rRNA from 1 species